rnacentral:rRNA from 1 species
GACAGAGGGUGCAAACGUUGUUCGGAAUUACUGGGCGUAAAGCGCGUGUAGGCGGCCAUCUAAGUCGGGCGUGAAAUCCCACGGCUCAACCGUGGAAGUGCACUCGAAACUGGAUGGCUAGAGUCCUGGAGAGGAAGGUGGAAUGCUUGGUGUAGAGGUGAAAUUCGUAGAUAUCAAGCGGAACACCGGUGGCGAAGGCGGCCUUCUGGACAGUGACUGACGCUGAGACGACGAAAGCGUGGGGAGCAAACAGG